rnacentral:lncRNA from 1 species
GUGAUUGUAUUGUUUGCUUUUUUUUUCCGGCCAUCAUGCCAGCUGCCAUCUCAGAUACCUUUGGGUCUCUGGCAGGAUUGUUUGGAAAGGAGUAACGUUGGCCAUGAGUCUGAUGAGAGACUGGUGUGAUGGUGUGAGUUGCCCUUUGGAUUACAAAAGAGAAAUGAAAUCACUGGCACAUGCUGUUGCUGGCAGUAGUUGCUAGUGCUUUGAUGGAUGUCAAUACAUUGGACCAUGCUUCCAUUUUACAUAGAAAAUUGCAUCUUCUCCCAGAGCUCAUUGUGAUCUGUGUUUAAGGUACGUAUUGCAGAGAAAUUCUGCUAAAGUAAUAGCUGUGAAUAAUGUAAACACUAUAGAACUGAAGUUAUGUCAUCAAAAUUUUUUCAUGACUCUUUUGGCAGGAGAGUUUUUUCCAUGCACACAGCUCUAGAUAACUUUCAGGGAUUAGAUUUGGAUCUCGGAGGCUGUUUGUGCACCUGCACAACAACAGAAGAGAAUUUCCGAGGUGUUCACUUUCAAGAAGAAUGGUGUUAAUACAUUUUUUAAUAUUUGCUGCAAAGUGAAAAAAUCUCGCAACUGUUUGGAAGCCUAUGGCUCCACUGCAUAUCAUGCCAAGUAAUCUGGCCUUAAUCAGCUAAAGCAGUGGCUAAUCUUUUUAAGCACAUUACUUACUAUGUCUUUAACCAUAGUGCCAGAGGAUGAAUGGACUCUGCCAAAUUGAGAGGACUGUAGAGAGGAUCCUGGGAGCUACAUCCUACAAGCUGUGUCAUAUAGCUGGAGUCUCAAAUUCAUUCUGUGUGCUUUGCCUGCUGGAGAGUCUGGAGCCAUGGAACAGCAGAUCACCUGAGAAUAAACCCAAGCACCAAUAAAAUUUUGUGUUUACCCUGGAUGUCUUGAAAUACCAUGGCUCCCAGGAAUUACUUUGUUGUUUUAUUUAAAGGGUAUGUAC